rnacentral:rRNA from 1 species
UGGGGAAUAUUGCACAAUGGGCGAAAGCCUGAUGCAGCAACGCCGCGUGCGGGAUGACGGCCUUCGGGUUGUAAAACCGCUUUUCAGCAGGGACGAAGGUUUUCUGACGGUACCUGCAGAAGAAGCACCGGCUAACUACGUGCCAGCAGCCGCGGUGAUACGUAGGGUGCGAGCGUUGUCCGGAAUUAUUGGGCGUAAAGAGCUUGUAGGCGGUCCGUUGCGUCGGAAGUGAAAAACUCAGGGCUUAAACCCUGAGCCUGCUUUCGAUACGGGCGGACUUGAGGGAUGUAGGGAGAACGGAAUUCCUGGUGGAGCGGUGGAAUGCGCAGAUAUCAGGAGGAACACCAGUGGCGAAGGCGGUUCUCUGGACAUUUCCUGACGCUGAGAAGCGAAAGCGUGGGGAGCAAAACAGGCUUAGAUACCCUGGUAGUCC